rnacentral:rRNA from 1 species
AACGUANCNGCCGGUCGACGAUUCCUACGGGAGGCAGCAGUGGGGAAUAUUGGACAAUGGGGGAAACCCUGAUCCAGCGAUGCCGCGUGAGUGAAGAAGGCCUUCGGGUCGUAAAGCACUGUGGGGAGAGACGAAACUACGCAGGAGGAAAUGCCUGCGUACUGACGGUACCUCCUUAGCAAGCACCGGCUAACUCUGUGCCAGCAGCCGCGGUAAUACAGAGGGUGCAAACGUUGCUCGGAUUUACUGGGCGUAAAGCGCGUGUAGGCGGACUCGCAAGUCGGUUGUGAAAUCCCUGGGCUCAACCUAGGAACUGCAUCCGAAACUGCUUGUCUUGAGUAAUGGAGAGGGUGGCGGAAUUCCCGGUGUAGAGGUGAAAUUCGUAGAUAUCGGGAGGAACAUCAGUGGCGAAGGCGGCCACCUGGACAUUUACUGACGCUGAGACGCGAAAGCGUGGGGAGCAAACAGGAUUAGAUACCCUGGUAGUCCACGCCGUAAACGAUGAGCAUUAGGUGCAGCGGAUAUUGACCUCUGCUGUGCCGUAGCUAACGCGUUAAAUGCUCCGCCUGGGGAGUACGGCCGCAAGGCUAAAACUCAAAGGAAUUGACGG